rnacentral:rRNA from 1 species
UACGUAGGGUGCGAGCGUUGUCCGGAAUUACUGGGCGUAAAGAGCUCGUAGGUGGUUUGUCGCGUUGUUCGUGAAAACUCACGGCUUAACUGUGAGCGUGCGGGCGAUACGGGCAGACUGGAGUACUGCAGGGGAGACUGGAAUUCCUGGUGUAGCGGUGAAAUGCGCAGAUAUCAGGAGGAACACCGGUGGCGAAGGCGGGUCUCUGGGCCGUAACUGACGCUGAGGAGCGAAAGCAUGGGGAGCGAACAGG